rnacentral:rRNA from 1 species
CAAUAGCGUAUAUUAAAGUUGUUGCAGUUAAAAAGCUCGUAGUUGGAUUUCUGGUGGGAGCGAUCGGUCUGGCGCUUAGCGCGAGUACUUGCAUCGUCUCCGGCCAUCCUUGGGGAGAGUCUGUCUGGCAUUAGGUUGUCGGGCAGAGGAUCCUCAUCGUUUACUGUGAAAAAAUUAGAGUGUUCAAAGCAGGCUUAUGCCGUUGAAUAUAUUAGCAUGGAAUAAUAAGAUAGGACUUUGGUACUAUUUUGUUGGUUUGCGCACCAAAGUAAUGAUUAAUAGGGACAGUUGGGGGUAUUCGUAUUCCGUUGCCAGAGGUGAAAUUCUUGGAUUUACGGAAGACGAACUACUGCGAAAGCAUUUACCAAGGAUGUUUUCAUUAA